rnacentral:rRNA from 1 species
AUGAACGCUAGCGACAGGCUAACACAUGCAAGUCGAGGGGUAACAGGGUAGCAAUACCGCUGACGACCGGCGCACGGGUGAGUAACGCGUAUGCAACCUGCCUAUAACUGGGGAAUAGCUCCCUGAAAGGGGGAAUUAACACCGCAUAACACUAUUGAUUCGCAUGGAUUAGUAGUUAAAUGUAGCGAUACAGGUUAUAGAUGGGCAUGCGUGACAUUAGCUAGUUGGUGAGGUAACGGCUCACCAAGGCUACGAUGUCUAGGGGUUCUGAGAGGAAGGUCCCCCCACACUGGUACUGAGACACGGACCAGACUCCUACGGGAGGCAGCAGUGAGGAAUAUUGGUCAAUGGGCGCAAGCCUGAACCAGCCAUGUCGCGUGCAGGAAGAACCUGCCCUAUGGGUUGUAAACUGUCUUUUAUAGUAGAAGAAACACAUCUACGCGUAGAUGUCUGCCAGUAUACUAUGAAUAAGCAUCGGCUAACUCCGUGCCAGCCGCCGC